rnacentral:lncRNA from 1 species
GCGGUGCAGCCUGCCGCCUCGGUUUGGUCGCUAUGCAACCUCUCGCUGCUUUAAAUUUAAUUUCUUACCUUAGUGAGUAGGCGACCUUGGUGGGACUGACUCUUCCCAGCUCUCCCGAGAAUGUAACGAGAAUGUAACGAUGUUGAACCAGACGAGAACAAUUUCCUUGAGCUUUAACUGCCUGUAACACUAGUUGGAGCCUGUUCUUGACAACACCUACAGUUGAGCAUCAAAGCAGCCUGAUAGCUACUGCUGUGUAAUUUCCCAGAAUUCACAAGCAGGACUUCAGUUUCUCUAUGGAAAAUGUUCUGCCUUCCUCUGACUGUGUGUUCCAGAGCUCUAUGUCAAAAUUUAAAAAUGUGAAGAGGAAGAUAAAAGCUAGAACUCAGUGACUGAACUCGGCUUUGUGUGCACGAAGCCCUGAGUUUGAUCACUAGCCCCUGCAGAGGGGAGAGAAAAAGGACAAGCUUAGAGUCACGGAGCCUUAGUGAAGAAAGCCAGGAGAAUCAACUCAGGUGUCCAGAAAAAGCAAGAGACACAGAAAAAGGGGUUGUCACACAUUCGUGCUAUUAGUCCCAGCACUGUGGCUUGGGGCUAUGGGUGGAGGCAAGCUGAUCUCUGGGAGUUCAAGGCCAGCCUGGGCUACAUAGUUCCAGCUACAUAGACUUUGGAAAAUGCUUUUAUCCUUCGACACUCCAGCUUUCCUGUCAGGUGACUCUUUCCACCAGAUCUUUUGAUACAGAAGUGGUGGGGACACCACCACUGCCCUUGCUGCAAACUGUCUUUCUUAAAUCGUAGGCUAGCUCCCAAUGUGAUAACCUUGGGAUAGACUCACAGAAGCACAGGGGGCAUGACAUUGAAUAUUUCACUGGCCAUAAAAGACAGAGGAGUGUGGCCUUCCAAUUGCUUCUAAUUCUCUUCUAGAAAUCCCCAGUUAUUGGUGUGGUGGGGGCAGAGGCAAAAUGGGGGUCACACACGAAAGGAGAGCUCAUCACUUCCCAGGAGUCACCAAUGGAUGAUGGACGUCCAAAGUGAGGGAGACAAGCCCCUGGGGCUGCCGGGAGAGGGAUCCAGCACAGGAUAGGGAAGGCUGAGAAGAUGAGCUGGGCAGCAGGCAUGGAGAACAGCCAACUCAAGACUUCAGCAAGAAGCCCUUGAAGGCAUCUCCGGCUAAGAGCCAACAGACAGACAAAAAGAGAACAACUGCUCUCUGGUCUCGUGCAUUUGACUGUCCAGAAAAGGAACUCAACGAAAUCGAGUCAGGCCAACGACUCUCAUGUAGAAAGCUAAACAACAGAACACAGGGCAACACAAAAAGUUCUACUAGAAGGAAACAUAGGGCUGCGGGUGCGCUGAUUUGGUAGUUUAGCUUGUAUGAAGCCCAGGGUUCGAUUCCCCAGCACGGCAUAAAAUUCAGCCUUGCCAGUGAGUGCCUAUAUUCCUAACCUCAGGGAGAUGGAAACAAGAGGAGCGGUUCAAUGCCAUGCUCAGCUAUGAGGCUAGCCUGGACUAAAUGAUACUAUAGCUCAAAAACUCGAACAAAUGAAAAAUCAGAAAGUGGUCUAUUUAAAAUGCUGUAUAUCCACUCCCUUAAGAAAACUUAAUUUUCUG